AGGCUCCCGAGUCCCGAGCAAGGGUUAUCUCAAAAGAAAAAAAAGUCCCAAGCGAGGGUUAGGUCUCCUGCCCGCGUGCACGCCGCCACCAUGCUUUCGCUCGAAAUCCCUGGUAUUCUCAUGGCUCACCCCUGACCCCGGCUCUGGUUUUCCUCAUACCAGCCGCCGGCGACCGGACUCGCUUCCUUCCUCCGACCUGUGGAUCGGCUCCACCGUCCCCAGAAUCCCCACUCCCUUCGCUGACUCCUGCUCCAACACUGAUGCGCUGACGCCGCCGCCUCCUGGUCGGCAUGCACGGCCGCACGCCCAGCAGUUACCGUGGCCGAUGAUGGAACAGCCCCGAGACCCUCCUUGUGUUGCAGUGCUUGGAGAAGAGGCAAGGCGCCCAGGGAGUCCUGAGAAGACGCCCUCGCCGCCGACCUUGAGGUGCAGGUCUGUCUCCAUGAGCUCGAGGAAGCCAUGGCCGAUGCAUCCAGCUGCGGAUGCCGCAUCUUUGUGGCCGCCACCCUCCCUCACCGCCCUACACAACCGGCUCCUCGGUCACCUCGUCGCCGCCGGCGGCCUUCAGUUUUGUGAACUCCAUUUGCAGAGGUAGCUUAAGUGCAAUUUCAUUUCAGGGAGAGUUGGCACAUAUUUCUCCUUUUAGGCUGAUACUUCAGACUUCAGUACACAUCAAUAUGUACUGAAGUACAACUUCAGGUUUUAGUUACGGUUUAUGCACAUUGCCAUGUUCUAAACUUGUGAUCCAUGGAGACAUAGCAUGUUUUGUACAAAAAUAAAUCAUCGUAAUCUAAUCUCAUGCAACUUUAUGUACUAUUCUUUGUUGUACUGAGAAGCUGCAAAGCCCAAGCCUCGUGUAAAUAUAAGAGGGCAUCUCAGAAGAUAUGGGGUGAAUGAUCUACAUAAUUUUUGGGAUGCAGUAAAUCUAAAUCUUACCUCUCCCUUAGCCAUUUGCGAUCUGGCACCCCCCCCCCCCCCCCCUUGCAUAGAUAAGUACAUGGUGUUUACCAUAAUUUACAUUUGUCUUUAUAGUACUCCUCCUAAAUGUUUAUUGUUGAGUGUCUCAUUUCCAGCAUAUUAGUAGAGGAGCAUGCAAGUUUGGAUAGCUAAGUUUGUUGAUGGGAUUCAUUGUGCUGGUUAAAGUCAUAAUAUAUCAGCAGGUAUGGCAUGGGAUUCAUUGUCCUGGUAAGAUGAGAAUAGAUCAUUGUAUACAUUUCACCGUAUUGGAUUAUUUUGUGCCGAAUUCUUUAGUCAGGUACCUUCUUUCUCUUAAGCCAUCUUCAUCUACGUGUUUUAUAUAUUUACAACUUCCAAUUUAAUAGUAGAGAUUUAAUCUCAAUACUUGCUUGCAUGGUGUAAGAAUGUUGAAGUAUGUUUUAUUUUGGCUCCUACCUGUAGUCUACAACUGGGUGUUCCAAGAAUUUGUUUUUCGCAUGGUCUUCUUUGCUACCUCUUCAUGGGCGAUCCUCAUUAUUUGUUCCUUGAUUCUCUAUGCAAGAAUCUUGCCUCAUGGUCGAAAACAUAUGGUCACAUAUUUUCUCCAGGGGAUUAAUUUUAGUCAGAGCCGAUCGAUAAAUGAUCGGCCAAUUAGUAUAAUUUUCUAGCUUAAUACAUGUCAUGUAAGUAUGUUUUCCUUAAUGUGAUAGGUAAUGUAAAUUUUGUGGGUCUCUCAGUUGCUAUGAGCCUACUACAGUUAAUUGGAAAGCAUGAUUCCGAUGGAAAUGCAACAGAAACAGAACCUGAAAUAUUAGUUAAUUGGAUAGCAUGGUCCCGACGGAAAUGCAAAUGAAACAGAACCUGGAAUAAUAAUUAAAAUUGGAUAGCAUGAUUCCGAUGGAAAUGCAAAAGAAACAGAACCAAUAAUAAGAUAGAUAAGAUGUGACUGACACUGGAGUAGGGAGCACACGACGGCCGUCGUUCGCGCGGCCGACACCGACACUGGUGUAGACAGUAGGCCACUGAAGAUCGUGUUGGCGAUGUAGUAUUUCCAUGAGCAUGCAUCAAAUAUCAAAUCUCUUUACCAGUCUCUUCCGCUGUCCACAUGGCUCCCCUUUUUAUGUACCACCACCUCAACUUGGUAGGACUUGAGAUUUACUUUGGUGUCUACCCCGUGCAGGAGAUGACUUUGUCGUACCUGACGUGCGGAAAUGCGAUGGUGUCUACCUUGAAGCUUGAAGAGUUCAUGAGGAAGUCUUGCUAGCAUCUAGAGUUGGAUGCCCUCAUGAAGACUACUGUCAGUCAAUUUUCAUGACUGUUCACACCGUUGAUGUUGUGAGGACUGGCAGCUCUUCAGUUCACACCGCCAAUGUUGUGAGGAGUGGCAGGACUUCAAUGGGCAUGGAGGCUGCAACCUAGGGCGAGGGCGUGGUGCGUUGAGAUGGCGGAGCUGCGUUGGUGGGAGGCGGCGAUGGCGGCGGCAACGCCAAUGUCAACAGGGAUCUCUUAGCCGCAACAGAUCGAAGAACAACUUGGGGAUGUCGUGCAGCUCCUGCGUGUAGUAGAUAAAUUGCCGCCCAGAUAAAUCACCGGGACACUACCAAGUGUGUCGUUCAUUGGGCCAGGAUAAAAAAUCUUGAGGGUGCCUCAUGUGCGACUCUAGCUAUUGAAAGUCAAAGAACUUGACUACUUCCGGAGUUUGAUAAGGCUUUAUAGUGAGUUCUCAUACUUUUACUGCUGUUGUUAUUAAGCAGAUUUUGUCAAAGCAAUUGCUAUGUGUAUGCCAUUUUCAUGUUCUAUACGUGGCUGUUUUUCCAUGUUCUAGACAUGGAUAUGAUGAUUGGUCGAUGAAGCAAUUGAUUUCUAAUACUAGCAAUUGGGCUUCUGGAUA